rnacentral:tRNA from 1 species
AUUACUGUAGCUUAUAUCUAAAGCAUGACCCUGAAGAGGCCAAAAUGGAACCAACCCAGUAAUG